UACGUAGGUGGCAAGCGUUGUCCGGAAUUAUUGGGCGUAAAGCGCGCGCAGGCGGUCCUUUAAGUCUGAUGUGAAAGCCCACGGCUCAACCGUGGAGGGUCAUUGGAAACUGGGGGACUUGAGUGCAGAAGAGGAAAGCGGAAUUCCACGUGUAGCGGUGAAAUGCGUAGAGAUGUGGAGGAACACCAGUGGCGAAGGCGGCUUCUGGUCUGUAACUGACGCUGAGGCGCGAAAGCGUGGGGAGCAAACAG
rnacentral:rRNA from 1 species